GCAUCGGUAGCGCAACGGUUUGAGCGCACGCCCUCGGAUAGGGUGAAAUAUGGGUUCAAGCCCUAGCUAACGCA